UCCCUGGUGGUCCAGUGGUUAGGAUUCAGCAUUUUCAUUGCUGAGGCCAGGGUUCAAUCCCUGGUCUGGGAA